GACGAACGCUGGCGGUGUGCUUCACACAUGCAAGUCGAACGAGGUAGCAAUACCUAGUGGCGGACGGGUGAGUAACGCGUGGGAAUCUGCCUUUAGAUGGGGGAUAACGGGUCGAAAGACUCGCUAAUACCGCAUAUGACGAAAGUUGAAAGGAGUAAUCCGUCUAAAGAUGAGCCCGCGUCCGAUUAGCUAGUUGGUAGAGUAAAAGCCUACCAAGGCGACGAUCGGUAGCUGGUCUGAGAGGAUGAUCAGCCACAAUGGGACUAGAGACACGGCCCAUACU
rnacentral:rRNA from 1 species